rnacentral:tRNA from 1 species
GUAGGUGUGGCUCAGUCAGGAAAGUUCUUGCAUCAGGAGCAUGAGAAUCUGGGUUCAAGUCCCAGCACCCAUA